rnacentral:rRNA from 1 species
CUAUACAUGCAGUCGAGCGGACAGAAGGGAGCUUGCUCCCGGAUGUUAGCGGCGGACGGGUGAGUAACACGUGGGUAACCUGCCUGUAAGACUGGGAUAACUCCGGGAAACCGGAGCUAAUACCGGAUAGUUCCUUGAACCGCAUGGUUCAAGGAUGAAAGACGGUUUCGGCUGUCACUUACAGAUGGACCCGCGGCGCAUUAGCUAGUUGGUGGGGUAAUGGCUCACCAAGGCGACGAUGCGUAGCCGACCUGAGAGGGUGAUCGGCCACACUGGGACUGAGACACGGCCCAGACUCCUACGGGAGGCAGCAGUAGGGAAUCUUCCGCAAUGGACGAAAGUCUGACGGAGCAACGCCGCGUGAGUGAUGAAGGUUUUCGGAUCGUAAAGCUCUGUUGUUAGGGAAGAACAAGUGCGAGAGUAACUGCUCGCACCUUGACGGUACCUAACCAGAAAGCCACGGCUAACUACGUGCCAGCAGCCGCGGUAAUACGUAGGUGGCAAGCGUUGUCCGGAAUUAUUGGGCGUAAAGGGCUCGCAGGCGGUUUCUUAAGUCUGAUGUGAAAGCCCCCGGCUCAACCGGGGAGGGUCAUUGGAAACUGGGAAACUUGAGUGCAGAAGAGGAGAGUGGAAUUCCACGUGUAGCGGUGAAAUGCGUAGAGAUGUGGAGGAACACCAGUGGCGAAGGCGACUCUCUGGUCUGUAACUGACGCUGAGGAGCGAAAGCGUGGGGAGCGAACAGGAUUAGAUACCCUGGGAGUCCACGCCGUAAACGAUGAGUGCUAANAGUUAAGGGGGUUCC